UACGUAGGGUGCGAGCGUUGUCCGGAAUUAUUGGGCGUAAAGAGCUCGUAGGCGGUGUGUCGCGUCGGCCGUGAAAACCUGCAGCUUAACUGUGGGCUUGCGGUCGAUACGGGCAUCACUGGAGUUCGGCAGGGGAGACUGGAAUUCCUGAUGUAGCGGUGAAAUGCGCAGAUAUCAGGAGGAACACCGGUGGCGAAGGCGGGUCUCUGGGCCGAUACAUGACGCUGGAGGAGCGAAAGCCGUGGGGAGCGAACAGGA
rnacentral:rRNA from 1 species